AUAGCUCGAGGACGGCAUGAACCAUGCUUUAUUUGUCCAAGUAAUUGAACACCUCGGUUCUGAAGCAUGUGAUAAGUUUCUUCUGCGCAAGAUCUCGCAGGACUUUCAACACUAGGUCUUUUGUGAAAGUCAGACACCUGUGGAAGCAAUUAACAGUAGAAACAUGUGUUAAUAAUACAGAAAAAUCAUUGAACAUUACAAGAAACAAGACACUGUUAUCCAAAGAAACCACUUCUAUCUGAUAAAUACACUUUAGCCAAAAGUAGAAUCCAUAGCAUCAUCAAAAUAUGACAAGAC
rnacentral:lncRNA from 1 species